CCUACGGGUGGCUGCAGUGAGGAAUAUUGGUCAAUGGGCGGGAGCCUGAACCAGCCAAGCCGCGUGAGGGAAGAAGGUACAGCGUAUCGUAAACCUCUUUUGUCAGGGAACAAAGGCGGGGACUAGUCCCCGGAUGAGGGUACCUGAAGAAAAAGCAUCGGCUAACUCCGUGCCAGCAGCCGCGGUAAUACGGAGGAUGCGCGCGUUAUACGGCUUUAUUGGGGUUAAAGGGUGCGCAGGCGGCCUGUUAAGUCAGCGGUAAAAGCCCGGGGUUCACCCCCGGCGAGCCGUUGAAACUGGCGGGCUGGAGUUGGAGAGAGGAACGCGGAAUGCGCGGUGUAGCGGUGAAAUGCUUAGAGAUCGCGCAGAACCCCGAUUGCGAAGGCAGCGUACCGGCGCCACACUGACGCUGAGGCACGAAAGCGUGGGUAUCGAACAGGAUUAGAUACCCUGGUAGUC
rnacentral:rRNA from 1 species